rnacentral:piRNA from 1 species
UGGUGACGUCCGGUAGCCUACUUGUCUUAU